rnacentral:lncRNA from 1 species
GCCUUGCAGGCCAGCCUGCUAAAGCAGAUGUGGAUCCCUUUUCUGGAGAAGGCCUCUAAGCAGAAGACCGAAGCUAACAGGGCAGGUGCACCACAAGCUCUGGGACUGGAGCCUAGCAGUACAACUCUUCACAAGUCCUCCAACUGAUUGGGGUGUGCUCAAGUCUGAGAACUGCUCUAAAGGGAAAGGAGCAUCUGCAGCAGAAGAGAUCUGGCUUCUCACGACUUCAGUAGGAGUUUCAGAAGGUAGAAUGGCUCAUGAAAUCAUGGCACCAGCCUCAGAGAUGAAAGGGAUUAGGCUUACACUUGCCAUCAUAGGAAACCAGAAGGUGCCAUAAAAAUCAGUGACCAUGUUUCUAGCUAACUGUGUCAGUCAGCUUUCUGUC